AAACCAACAGGGAUUGCCUCAGUAACGGCGAGUGAAGCGGCAAAAGCUCAAAUUUGAAAUCUGGCUCUUUCAGGGUCCGAGUUGUAAUUUGUAGAAGAUGCUUUGGGUGUGGCUCUGGUUUAAGUUCUUUGGAAUAUUACAUCAUAGAGGGUGAGAAUCCCGUAUGUGACCAGUCGCCGCGCCCGUGUAAAGCUCUUUCAACGAGUCGAGUUGUUUGGGAAUGCAGCUCAAAAUGGGAGGUAUAUUUCUUCUAAAGCUAAAUAUUGGCCAGAGACCGAUAGCGCACAAGUAGAGUGAUCGAAAGAUGAAAAGCACUUUGGAAAGAGAGUUAAACAGUACGUGAAAUUGUUGAAAGGGAAGCGCUUGCAACCAGACUUGCACGCAGUUGAUCAUCCGGUGUUCUCACCGGGGCACUCUGCUGCGUUCAGGCCAGCAUCGGUUUUGGUGGUUGGAUAAAGGCCUUGGGAAUGUAGCUUCUUUCGGGGAGUGUUAUAGCCCUUGGUGCAAUGCAGCCUACCGGGACCGAGGACCGCGCUUCGGCUAGGAUGCUGGCGUAAUGGUUGUAAGCGGC
rnacentral:rRNA from 1 species